UACGGAAGGCAGCAGUGGGGAAUAUUGCACAAUGGGCGAAAGCCUGAUGCAGCGUAUGCCGCGUGUAUGAAGGAAGGCCUUAGGGUUGUAAAGUACUUUCAUCGGGGAGGAAAAACAAAACUAAUAAUUUUAUUUCUUGACGUUACCCGAAAAAGAAGCACCGGCUAACUCCGUGCCAGCAGCCGCGGUAAUACGGAGGGUGCUAGCGUUAAUCAGAAUUACUGGGCGUAAAGAGGCACGUAGGUGGUUUUUUUAAGUCAGAUGUGAAAUCCCUGGGCUUAACCUGGAACUGCAUUUUGAAAACUGAAAUACUAGAGUAUCGUAGAGGGAGGUAGAAUUCUAGGUGUAGCGGUGAAAAUGCGUAGAUAUCUGGAGGAAUACCUGUGGCGAAAAGCGGCCUCCUAAACGAAUACUGACACUGAGGUGCGAAAAGCGUGGGGAGCAAAACAGGGAUUAGAUACC
rnacentral:rRNA from 1 species